AGGACGAACGCUGGCGGCGUGCUUAACACAUGCAAGUCGAGCGGUAAGGCCUUUCGGGGUACACGAGCGGCGAACGGGUGAGUAACACGUGAGCAAUCUGCCCUUCACUUUGGGAUAACCUCCGGAAACGGUGGCUAAUACCGAAUGCGACCACUCCACGCAUGUGGUGGUGGUGGAAAGUUCUGGCGGUGGAGGAUGAGCUCGCGGCCUAUCAGCUUGUUGGUGAGGUAAUGGCUCACCAAGGCUUCGACGGGUAGCCGGCCUGAGAGGGUGACCGGCCACACUGGGACUGAGACACGGCCCAGACUCCUACGGGAGGCAGCAGUGGGGAAUAUUGGACAAUGGGCGAAAGCCUGAUCCAGCAACGCCGCGUGAGGGAUGAAUGCCUUCGGGUUGUAAACCUCUUUCAGUGGGGACGAAGCGAAAGUGACGGUACCCGCAGAAGAAGCACCGGCCAACUACGUGCCAGC
rnacentral:rRNA from 1 species